UACGUAGGUGGCAAGCGUUGUCCGGAAUUAUUGGGCGUAAAGCGCGCGCAGGCGGUCCUUUAAGUCUGAUGUGAAAGCCCACGGCUCAACCGUGGAGGGUCAUUGGAAACUGGGGGACUUGAGUGCAGAAGAGGAAAGCGGAAUUCCACGUGUAGCGGUGAAAUGCGUAGAGAUGUGGAGGAACACCAGUGGCGAAGGCGGCUACCUGGCCCAACAUUGACACUGAGACCCGAAAGCGUGGGGAUCAAACAGG
rnacentral:rRNA from 1 species